rnacentral:rRNA from 1 species
CGAACGCUGGCGGCGUGCUUAACACAUGCAAGUCGAGCGGAAAGGCCCUUCGGGGUACUCGAGCGGCGAACGGGUGAGUAACACGUGAGUAACCUGCCCCAGACUUUGGGAUAACCCUCGGAAACGGGGGCUAAUACCGGAUACGACACAGCUUCGCAUGGGGUCUGUGUGGAAAGUUUUUCGGUUUGGGAUGGGCUCGCGGCCUAUCAGCUUGGUGGUGGGGUGAUGGCCUACCAAGGCGACGACGGGUAGCCGGCCUGAGAGGGCGACCGGCCACACUGGGACUGAGAUACGGCCCAGACUCCUACGGGAGGCAGCAGUGGGGAAUAUUGCACAAUGGGCGGAAGCCUGAUGCAGCGACGCCGCGUGAGGGAUGACGGCCUUCGGGUUGUAAACCUCUUUCAGCAGGGACGAAGCGUAAGUGACGGUACCUGCAGAAGAAGCGCCGGCCAACUACGUG